rnacentral:rRNA from 1 species
AAAGCUUUUGUGGUUUUGGAUGGACUCGCGGCCUAUCAGCUUGUUGGUGGGGUAAUGGCCGUACCAAGGCGACGACGGGUAGCCGGCCUGAGAGGGUGACCGGCCACACUGGGACUGAGACACGGCCCAGACUCCUACGGGAGGCAGCAGUGGGGAAUAUUGCACAAUGGGCGCAAGCCUGAUGCAGCGACGCCGCGUGAGGGAUGAAGGCCUUCGGGUUGUAAACCUCUUUCAGUAGGGAAGAAGCCGGCCCUUGGGUUGGUGACGGUACCUGCAGAAGAAGCGCCGGCUAACUACGUGCCAGCAGCCGCGGUAAUACGUAGGGCGCAAGCGUUAUCCGGAAUUAUUGGGCGUAAAGAGCUCGUAGGCGGUUUGUCGCGUCUGCCGUGAAAGUCCCGGGGCUUAACUCCGGAUCUGCGGUGGGUACGGGCAGACUAGAGUGCAGUAGGGGAGACUGGAAUUCCUGGUGUAGCGGUGAAAUGCGCAGAUAUCAGGAGGAACACCGAUGGCGAAGGCAGGUCUCUGGGCUGUAACUGACGCUGAGGAGCGAAAGCAUGGGGAGCGAACAGGAUUAGAUACCCUGGUAGUCCAUGCCGUAAACGUUGGGCACUAGGUGUGGGGGACAUUCCACGUUUUCCGCGCCGUAGCUAACGCAUUAAGUGCCCCGCCUGGGGAGUACGGCCGCAAGGCUAAAACUCAAAGGAAUUGACGGGGGCCCGCACAAGCGGCGGAGCAUGCGGAUUAAUUCGAUGCAACGCGAAGAACCUUACCAAGGCUUGACAUGAACCGGAAUGAUGCAGAGAUGUGUCAGCCACUUGUGGCCGGUUUACAGGUGGUGCAUGGUUGUCGUCAGCGUCGUGUCGUGAGAUGUUGGGUUAAGUCCCGCAACGAGCGCAACCCUCGUUCCAUGUUGCCAGCGGGUUAUGCCGGGGACUCAUGGGAGACUGCCGGGGUCAACUCGGAGGAAGGUGGGGACGACGUCAAAUCAUCAUGCCCCUUAUGUCUUGGGCUUCACGCAUGCUACAAUGGCCGGUACAAAGGGUUGCGAUACUGUGAGGUGGAGCUAAUCCCAAAAAGCCGGUCUCAGUUCGGAUUGAGGUCUGCAACUCGACCUCAUGAAGUUGGAGUCGCUAGUAAUCGCAGAUCAGCAACGCUGCGGUGAAUACGUUCCCGGGCCUUGUACACA